UGGCGGCACUAGCGCGGUGGUCCCACCUGACCCCAUGCCGAACUCAGAAGUGAAACGCCGUAGCGCCGAUGGUAGUGUGGGGUCUCCCCAUGCGAGAGUA
rnacentral:rRNA from 1 species